UAAAAACAGAAGAAUAAUAAAACAUCUGUAUGGUCACCCAACAAACAUCUGACACACACACACACACACACACACACACACACACACACACACACACACACACAC